UACGAAGGGUGCAAGCGUUGUUCGGAUUUAUUGGGCGUAAAGCGUACGUAGGCGGUUUUAUAAGUCAGGUGUGAAAUCUUGGGGCUCAACCCCGAAACUGCGCCUGAAACUGUAUAACUAGAAUCUUGGAGGGGAAGGUAGAAUUUCGCAUGUAGGGGUAAAAUCCGUAGAGAUGCGAAGGAACAUCAGAGGCGAAGGCG
rnacentral:rRNA from 1 species